GACGAACGCUGGCGGCGUGCUUAACACAUGCAAGUCGAACGGAAAGGCCCUGCUUUUGUGGGGUGCUCGAGUGGCGAACGGGUGAGUAACACGUGAGUAACCUGCCCUUGACUUUGGGAUAACUUCAGGAAACUGGGGCUAAUACCGGAUAGGAGCUCCUGCUGCAUGGUGGUGGUUGGAAAGUUUCGGCGGUUGGGGAUGGACUCGCGGCUUAUCAGCUUGUUGGUGGGGUAGUGGCUUACCAAGGCUUUGACGGGUAGCCGGCCUGAGAGGGUGACCGGCCACAUUGGGACUGAGAUACGGCCCAGACGCCUACGGGAGGCAGCAGUGGGGAAUAUUGCACAAUGGGCGGAAGCCUGAGGCAGCAACGCCGCGUGCGGGAUGACGGCCUUCGGGUUGUAAACCGCUUUCGCCUGUGACGAAGCGUGAGUGACGGUAAUGGGUAAAGAAGCACCGGCUAACUACGUG
rnacentral:rRNA from 1 species